rnacentral:rRNA from 1 species
UCUAAUACCGGAUACGACCGCCGAGCGCAUGGUUGGGGGUGGAAAGCUCCGGCGGUGCAGGAUGAGCCCGCGGCCUAUCAGCUUGUUGGUGGGGUGAUGGCCUACCAAGGCGACGACGGG